AUUUAAAUAAUUUAAUAAAAAAUUUUGGUUUGUGGAGUCAAAUAUGUAGUAAGCUACUUUAAAUU
rnacentral:tRNA from 1 species